rnacentral:lncRNA from 1 species
UUGGUUGCUGAUGUUUGAUAUUCUCGAGGCUUUUCGUUGCCUCGUUGUCGAACACUUCGUUGCAAAGAGGACAUAACAUUAUUUCAAAGCCUUUCAUUUUUCACAUGUUUAAAAAGUCGAUUAAAUCCUCCUUAGCCUUUGGAUAAACCAUUUUGAUUUUCUUAGUAUAAUCCAGCAUAGUAACCUCUUUGACCUCUAUGUCGAGAUCUUCAAUAGUCUCGACCAUCAUAAUUUCUACAGGCUCGACCAA